rnacentral:rRNA from 1 species
GACGAACGCUGGCGGCGUGCUUAACACAUGCAAGUCGAACGGGACGGCCCUGCUUUUGUCGGGUGGUGGAGGUGGCGAACGGGGGGGAAAACGGGAGUUAACCUGCCCUUCCUUUCGGGUAAACCGAUGGAAAGGGGGGCAAUACCGGGUAGGAGUUGCUGUUCCGCAGGGGGGGGUGGGGAAUGUCUCCCGUUUGGGGUGCGCUGGUGGGGGAUGGGCUUGUGGGUGGGGAGCUGGCUGGUGGGGGGAUGGCCUGCCAAGGCGUUGACGGGGGGCCGGCCUGAGAGGGUGGCCGGCCACAUUGGGACUGCGAUACGGCCCAGACUGCUACGGGAGGCAGCAGUGGGGAAUAUUGCACAAUGGGCGGAAGCCUGAUGCAGCGACGCCGCGUGCGGGGUGACGGCCUUCGGGUUGUAAACCGCUUUCGCCUGUGACGAAGCGUGAGUGACGGUAAUGGGUAAAGAAGCACCGGCUAACUACGUG